rnacentral:rRNA from 1 species
UUUAUGGAGAGUUUGAUCCUGGCUCAGAGUGAACGCUGGCGGCGUGCCUAAUACAUGCAAGUCGAACGAUGAAGCUUCUAGCUUGCUAGAAUGCUGAUUAGUGGCGCACGGGUGAGUAACGCAUAGGUCAUGUGCCUCUUAGUUUGGGAUAGCCAUUGGAAACGAUGAUUAAUACCAGAUACUCCCUACGGGGGAAAGAUUUAUCGCUAAGAGAUCAGCCUAUGUCCUAUCAGCUUGUUGGUAAGGUAAUGGCUUACCAAGGCUAUGACGGGUAUCCGGCCUGAGAGGGUGAACGGACACACUGGAACUGAGACACGGUCCAGACUCCUACGGGAGGCAGCAGUAGGGAAUAUUGCUCAAUGGGGGAAACCCUGAAGCAGCAACGCCGCGUGGAGGAUGAAGGUUUUAGGAUUGUAAACUCCUUUUGUUAGAGAAGAUAAUGACGGUAUCUAACGAAUAAGCACCGGCUAACUCCGUGCCAGCAGCCGCGGUAAUACGGAGGGUGCAAGCGUUACUCGGAAUCACUGGGCGUAAAGAGCGCGUAGGCGGGAUAGUCAGUCAGGUGUGAAAUCCUAUGGCUUAACCAUAGAACUGCAUUUGAAACUACUAUUCUAGAGUGUGGGAGAGGUAGGUGGAAUUCUUGGUGUAGGGGUAAAAUCCGUAGAGAUCAAGAGGAAUACUCAUUGCGAAGGCGACCUGCUGGAACAUUACUGACGCUGAUUGCGCGAAAGCGUGGGGAGCAAACAGGAUUAGAUACCCUGGUAGUCCACGCCCUAAACGAUGGAUGCUAGUUGUUGGAGGGCUUAGUCUCUCCAGUAAUGCAGCUAACGCAUUAAGCAUCCCGCCUGGGGAGUACGGUCGCAAGAUUAAAACUCAAAGGAAUAGACGGGGACCCGCACAAGCGGUGGAGCAUGUGGUUUAAUUCGAAGAUACACGAAGAACCUUACCUAGGCUUGACAUUGAGAGAAUCCGCUAGAAAUAGUGGAGUGUCUGGCUUGCCAGACCUUGAAAACAGGUGCUGCACGGCUGUCGUCAGCUCGUGUCGUGAGAUGUUGGGUUAAGUCCCGCAACGAGCGCAACCCCCUUUCUUAGUUGCUAACAGGUCAUGCUGAGAACUCUAAGGAUACUGCCUCCGUAAGGAGGAGGAAGGUGGGGACGACGUCAAGUCAUCAUGGCCCUUACGCCUAGGGCUACACACGUGCUACAAUGGGGUGCACAAAGAGAAGCAAUACUGCGAAGUGGAGCCAAUCUUCAAAACACCUCUCAGUUCGGAUUGUAGGCUGCAACUCGCCUGCAUGAAGCUGGAAUCGCUAGUAAUCGCAAAUCAGCCAUGUUGCGGUGAAUACGUUCCCGGGUCUUGUACUCACCGCCCGUCACACCAUGGGAGUUGUGUUUGCCUUAAGUCAGGAUGCUAAAUUGGCUACUGCCCACGGCACACACAGCGACUGGGGUGAAGUCGUAACAAGGUAACCGUAGGUGAACCUGCGGUUGGAUCACCUCCUUUCUA